GCGGGUGUAGUUUAAUGGUAGAACUUCAGCCUUCCAAGCUGAUAGCGUGGGUUCGAUUCCCAUCACCCGCUCCA
rnacentral:tRNA from 2 species